GCGGGUGUAGUUCAGCUGGUAGAAUGUCUGCUUCCCAAGCAGAAGGUCGUGGGUUCGAGCCCCAUCACCCGCU
rnacentral:tRNA from 1 species